GCCAUUUUGUAAAGAAUCAGAGGUCUAGGGACCUGUCUUGCAAAUACUUUAAACUUUACCAUUGGAGAGGAUCAAAGCUUUCUCUUUGACGGCGACGACGAGAACGGCCACGGUGGAGCUGAGCACGGCCACGGAGUAGGCGGCUUGGACCAUAGAUCCCGUGGUGGAGAAUCGCGACGGUUGAAGCUCUGACGCAGAGGUGAAUCGCCGAGGAGAUGAAGUCGGCCACGGCGAAGAAGAAGCGACGACUUCGAAGCUUCAGGACAUUGAGUCACGGCGUGGAACGAGCUCGAUUCAGGUGAUGACGAAGACAGAGGAGUGCGGAAGAGAGCUUCGACUUGGUGGUG
rnacentral:lncRNA from 1 species